ensembl:lncRNA
AGGGUGCCCAGACCGCUGCGGUGUAUGCCCUCACCUUCCAGACCGUGGAAGCCUCCAGCUCUGCACGCCAUUCAGAAGAAGACCCCACGAAGAGGUCCAGAGGGUGCUGGCGUGUUGAGACGACACGCUCUCCUUGGAUGCACUCAUCGCGAUGGCCAUAAGUCUGGAUAACCUUCUUCUGUAAUGUCGCCACCUUCAUCGCCUCUUGCCAUCCUCCUUUGGUUGUCCUGAGAGAGAGCCUGAAUCCACGGAGGUAGGGUCUACACACCUCCCUGUGGUAGAGUUACGCCGCCAGACACAGCUGGGCCUAUUGCGGUCAGGAGGGGCACCAGCCUCAACGGUGUCCGUUGCGUCUUAACCAGGGGUCCACGAGGACAGAGGGACAGCCCUGUGAUCACCCGUCUCUCAGGGUUGGUUCCAAGCCCUGGAUAAGCGACCAUUGGGAUCUAGCACAAUCUCACACAGCACCCCUCAACCUCACCGUGGGACCCAUGCACCAGGAAAACCUUCCCUUCCUCUUCACCACCGCACCGGUACACAAAGUAAUCCUCAGCCUCCCGUGGUUCUAACAUCACAACCCCAUCAUCUCCUGGUCAAGGAUGAAAAUCACCGCUUGGGGACUAUGAUGCUUUCUCGUACCCUGUGGUUCCAUGCCGGUUGAGAGUCUUGACCUGAGCCCUAGGACCAUGCCUCAGGACUACCUGGCAUGAUGACUCCUUGCUGUACCCAGUCCACCUGGCCGUGCUGCUGCUCCAGUUUCAACUGUUCUGCCAGUGGCUAUGGAAUCCUGACCUGUUCACCGGACAUGCUACCUGUCCCAGACAUGCUGUUUUCAGCUCUCUAGAGACAGCAGGAGUGGUAGAGAUCCUCUUAAUGAUCGGCUAUGAAAAGCCAACUGACAUUUACUCCUGAGGUGCUGACUUGCUGCACCCUCGACAACUACUGUGAUUGUUAUUAUUUGACCAUGCUGGUCAAUUAUGAACAUUUGAACAUCUUGGCCAUGUUCUGUUAUAAUCUCUACCCGGCACAGCCAGAAGAGGACUAGCCACCCCUCAUAGCCUGGUACCUCUCUUGGUUUCUACCUAGGUUUUGGCCUUUCUAGGGAGUUUAUCCUAGCCACCGUGCUUCUACACCUGCAUUGCUUGCUGUUUGGGGUUUUAGGCUGGGUUUCUGUACAGCACUUUGAGAUAUCAGCUGAUGUACGAAGGGCUAUAUAAAUACAUUUGAUUUGAUAUUUAGGCAGCUUUUUCCCACCG